rnacentral:tRNA from 1 species
GGGAUGUAGCUCAGUUGGCUAGAGCGCUACGCUGGCAGCGUAGAGGUCGUGGGUUCGAGCCCCAUCUUCUCCA